GGAGCAGUGGCCGAGCGGCUGAAGGCAGCGGUCUUGAAAACCGCCAGGGGUGCAAGCCCCUCGAAGGUUCGAAUCCUUCCUGCUCCG
rnacentral:tRNA from 1 species